rnacentral:rRNA from 1 species
UGAAUACGAGACGCUAAGGCGUCGAAGUAGUGUAUGUCAUACUUCCAAGAAAAGCUUGCACUGUCAUAGAUAAAAAACGCCUGUACCAUAACCGACACAGGUGGGUAGGUAGAGUAUACUAAGGGGCGCGAGAUAACUCUCUCUAAGAACUCGGCAAAAUAACUCCGUAACUUCGGGAGAAGGAGUGCCUUAUUCGUAAGGUUGCAAUAACAAGAUCCAAGCAACUGUUUAUCAAAAACACAGGUCUCCGCUAAGUCGUAAGACGAUGUAUGGGGGCUGACGCCUGCCCAGUGCCAGAAGGUUAAAGAAGUUGGUUAGCAAUUGCGAAGCUGAUAACUGAAGCCCUGGUGAACGGCGGCCGUAACUAUAACGGUCCUAAGGUAGCGAAAUUCCUUGUCGGGUAAGUUCCGACCCGCACGAAAGGCGUAAUGAUUUGGAUACUGUCUCGGAGAGGGGCUCGGUGAAAUAGACUUGUCUGUGAAGAUGCGGACUACCUGCACCAGGACAGAAAGACCCUAUGAAGCUUUACUGUAACUUGAAAUUGAAAUUGGACUUUAUUCGCGCAGUAUAGGUGGGAGGCGUUGAUUAUAAUCUUGUGGGAUUAUUGGAGCCAUCAGUGAGAUACCACUCUUGUAAUGUUAGAUUUCUAACUUUGAAUCAUUAUCUGGUCUAAGAACAGUUUCAGGCGGGCAGUUUGACUGGGGCGGUCGCCUCCUAAACGGUAACGGAGGCGUACAAAGGUUUCCUCUGAACGGUUAGAAAUCGUAUCUAGAGUGUAAAGGCAUAAGGAAGCUUGACUGUGAGACCUACAAGUCGAGCAGGGACGAAAGUCGGUCUUAGUGAUCUGACGGUACUGAGUGGAAAGGCCGUCACUCAACGGAUAAAAGUUACUCUAGGAUAACAGGCUGAUCUCCCCCAAGAGUUCACAUCGACGGGGAGGUUUGGCACCUCGAUGUCGGCUCAUCGCAUCCUGGGGCGGUAGUACGUCCCAAGGGUUGGGCUGUUCGCCCAUGAAAGCGGUACGCGAGCUGGGUUCAGAACGUCGUGAGACAGUUCGGUCCAUAUCCGGUGUAGGCGUUAGAAUAUUGAGAGGAGCCUUCUUUAGUACGAGAGGACCGAGAAGGACAUACCUCUGGUGUACCAGUUAUCGUGCCAACGGUAAACGCUGGGUAGCUAUGUAUGGAGUGGAUAACCGCUGAAAGCAUCUAAGUGGGAAGCCCACCUCAAGAUAAG